UACGUAGGGGGCUAGCGUUAUCCGGAAUUACUGGGCGUAAAGGGUGCGUAGGUGGUUUCUUAAGUCAGAGGUGAAAGGCUACGGCUCAACCGUAGUAAGCCUUUGAAACUGGGAAACUUGAGUGCAGGAGAGGAGAGUGGAAUUCCUAGUGUAGCGGUGAAAUGCGUAGAUAUUAGGAGGAACACCAGUUGCGAAGGCGGCUCUCUGGACUGUAACUGACACUGAGGCACGAAAGCGUGGGGAGCAAACAGGAUUAGAUACCCAGGUAGUCCCUGAGCGGGCU
rnacentral:rRNA from 1 species